CUACGGGUGGCUGCAGUGGGGAAUAUUGCACAAUGGAGGAAACUCUGAUGCAGCAACGCCGCGUGGAGGAUGACACUUUUCGGAGCGUAAACUCCUUUUAUAUAGGAAGAAGAUGACGGUACUAUAUGAAUAAGCGCCGGCUAACUCCGUGCCAGCAGCCGCGGUAAUACGGAGGGCGCAAGCGUUACUCGGAAUCACUGGGCGUAAAGAGCGUGUAGGCGGAUUAAAAAGUCAGAAGUGAAAUCCUAUAGCUUAACUAUAGAACUGCUUCUGAAACUCUUAAUCUAGAAUAUGGGAGAGGUAGAUGGAAUUUCUGGUGUAGGGGUAAAAUCCGUAGAGAUCAGAAGGAAUACCGAUUGCGAAGGCGAUCUACUAGAACAUUAUUGACGCUGAGACGCGAGAGCGUGGGGAGCAAACAGGGUUAGAUACCCGCGUAGUC
rnacentral:rRNA from 1 species